rfam:Streptomyces cellostaticus strain DSM 40189 genomic scaffold PRJNA299219_s117, whole genome shotgun sequence.
CUUCACCGAGCCGAGCCACAGCGGCUGUUCCGCCGGCCGGUCCUGGCCGUAGGUGGCGAUCACGGCCUGGGCCUC